rnacentral:RNase_P_RNA from 1 species
UGAGUAAGUCAGACGGUCGCGUGCAUGCUCGACAUGUACGAGGAAAGUCCGAGCUCCGUAGGGCAAGGGUGCUGGGUAAUACCCAGUGGAGGUGACUCCAAGGAAAGUGCAACAGAGAGAUACCGCCAGAUUUUAUCUGGUAAGGGUGGAAAGGUGAGGUAAGAGCUUACCAGAGACUAGGCGACUAGUCUGCUAUGUAAACCCCAUCCGGAGCAAGACCAAGUAGGGACCAUAUAGCGGCUGCCCGUCGUGUCCCAUGGUAGGUCGCUUGAGCCUACUGGUAACAGUAGGCCUAGAUAGAUGGCUGUCAAAUACAGAACUCGGCUUAUAGAUUUGCUCGCUUU